rnacentral:rRNA from 1 species
UACGUAGGGACCGAGCGUUGUCCGGAAUCAUUGGGCGUAAAGAGCGUGUAGGCGGCUUGCUAAGUCUUGCGUGAAAUCUCGGGGCUCAACCCCGAGCGGUCGUGGGAAACUGGCAGGCUAGAGUGCGGGAGAGGAGAAUGGAAUUCCUGGUGUAGCGGUGAAAUGCGCAGAUAUCAGGAGGAACACCAAUUGCGAAGGCAGCUCGCUGGGACGUAACUGACGCUGAGACGCGAAAAGCGUGGGGAGCAAACAGG